AAUCAACGCUGGCGGCGCGCCUAACACAUGCAAGUCGAGCGAGAAAGGGGGGGCAACUCCUGAGUACAGCGGCGUACGGGUGAGUAACACGUGGAUGAUCUACCUCUUAGUGGGGAAUAACGCUGGGAAACCGGCGCUAAUACCGCAUAAGCCUGAGAAGGGAAAGCAGCAAUGCGCUGAGAGAGGAGUCCGCGGCCGAUUAGCUAGUUGGUGAGGUAAAGGCUCACCAAGGCGAAGAUCGGUAGCCGGCCUGAGAGGGCACACGGCCACACUGGCACUGAAACACGGGCCAGACUCCUACGGGAGGCAGCAGUGGGGAAUCUUGCACAAUGGGGGAAACCCUGAUGCAGCGACGCCGCGUGAGCGAUGAAGCCCUUCGGGGUGUAAAGCUCUUUCGGCAGGGAAGAUAAUGACGGUACCUGCAGAAGCAGCUGCGGCUAACUACGUG
rnacentral:rRNA from 1 species